AACAGGCAUUUCCUGGAAAAGCCUGAUAUUUCUCAGUGGAAGUUCUUUCUUCUUUUUCUCCCUUGGGAAUGAAAUUAACAACACAUCCCUGCUGAUGAGAGCCUUGAAACCUCCGUUUCCCAUGUCCUGUACUGAAGAAGAGCUUUAUUUCAGACUCAGCUGAUAUCAGAUUACUGCCCUUUGAGAGAUGCAGUUUGGACUACUGAUUAAAAAUUCUUUGGGUAUGCUCUGCUAUCAUAUGUUCCAGCCUCCUACUACAUGUAUCCAUUAAAAAAGGAGCUGGUUAUUAAAUAUUUGAGUUUCCAGAAAUGACAUUUCACUUAUCACUCUGAAGAAUGUGGGUUAUCUUCUUUCUUCAUUUCUUAGUGAAUAACAAAAAUCUACAAGAAUUUAAAAGAAUAGCAUCAUUCUCAUAUUUGACCCUCACAAAGAAUUUAAUUUGUACUGUAGGGUUUAUACUUUUUGGAAUAUAAAAUGAAUAAAAGGACAAAAGUG